GACGAACGCUGGCGGCGUGCUUUACACAUGCAAGUCGAACGGUGAAGGUGGAGCUUGCUCCGCCGGAUCAGUGGCGAACGGGUGAGUAACCCGUGGGCAACCUGCCCCCAACUUUGGUAUAACUACUCGAAAGAGUAGCUAAUACCGGAUACGAAGUCUGUAGGCAUCUACGGAUUUGGAAAGUUUUUCGGUCAGGGAUGGGCCCGCGGCCUAUCAGCUUGUUGGUGAGGUAGUGGCUCACCAAGGCGACGACGGGUAGCCGGCCUGAGAGGGCGACCGGCCACACUGGGACUGAGACACGGCCCAGACUCCUACGGGAGGCAGCAGUGGGGAAUAUUGCGCAAUGGGCGAAAGCCUGACGCAGCAACGCCGCGUGCGGGAUGAAGGCCUUCGGGUUGUAAACCGCUUUCAGCAGGGAAGAAGCGAAAGUGACGGUACCUGCAGAAGAAGCACCGGCUAACUACGUGCCAGCCGCCGCGGUAA
rnacentral:rRNA from 1 species